rnacentral:rRNA from 1 species
UACGGAGGAUGCAAGCGUUAUCCGGAUUUAUUGGGUUUAAAGGGUGCGCAGGUUGUUUGAUAAGUCAGUGGUGAAAGUCUGUCGCUUAACGGUAGGAUUGCCAUUGAUACUGUUAGACUUGAAUAUGGAUGAGGUAGGCGGAAUGUGUAGUGUAGCGGUGAAAUGCAUAGAUAUUACACAGAACACCGAUUACGAAGGCAGCUUACUAAUCCAUCAUUGACGCUGAGGCACGAAAGCGUGGGGAUCAAACAGGA